AAGUCGUAACAAGGUAACCGUAGGUGAACCUGCGGUUGGAUCAUUAAACAAACCAAGGUGGGGGGUUGGUGUUCAGGAAGAGGAGGACUUCCCAGUCCUUUUUCUUCCUGUCCGUCGCCCUCGAUCGUCCAACAUUUUGUGAACCCUCAAACCGUCCGGCGGGGGAAGGAAGAGGUGGCCUUUGCGGGCUUCCAAUUCCUUCCGUCAGUGCCUCUGCGCACCGUGGACAACCCGCCCCCACCAACCGGUACGAUGCCUGAACCUCCCGGUCCGGGAAUCCAUCCGAUUGGAAUUUGCCCAACUUUUUGGAUCUUCUCUUAAUUGUGAUACGCUUCUGAGAAUGCGAUGGUGCAAUUGCACCGUCAUUUUGGAAACAAAACAUUCAAAAACAACUUUUGGCAACGGAUCUCUUGGCUCUC
rnacentral:misc_RNA from 1 species